CCCCACGGUCCAGCUUCUCUUCAAAUAGGUCCAAAAGAGGCAGCACAAGCACCCGAAACAGCAGCCAAAAAGGAAGCAGUGUUUUGAGCAUUAAACAAAAAAGCAAAAGAGAACUUUACAUGGAAAAGCUUCAAGAACAUUUAAUCAAAGCAAAGGCCUUUACCAUAAAGAAAACUCUACAAAUCUAUGUACCCAUUCGGCAAUUCUUCUAUGACCUCAUCCACCCAGACUACAGUGCUGUGACUGACGUGUAUGUGCUGAUGUUCCUGGCCGACACCGUGGACUUCAUCAUCAUCGUCUUUGGCUUCUGGGCUUUUGGGAAACACUCGGCAGCUGCAGAUAUCACCUCUUCCCUAUCAGAAGACCAGGUCCCCGGGCCAUUCCUGGUGAUGGUUCUCAUUCAGUUUGGAACCAUGGUGGUGGACCGUGCACUCUACCUCAGGAAGACUGUGCUUGGCAAGGUCAUUUUCCAGGUCAUCCUCGUGUUUGGAAUUCACUUCUGGAUGUUCUUCAUCCUACCCAGUGUGACUGAG
rnacentral:lncRNA from 1 species